rnacentral:rRNA from 1 species
AGCGGUUCGAAAGCUCCGGCGGUGCAGGAUGAGCCCGCGGCCUAUCAGCUUGUUGGUGAGGUAAUGGCUCACCAAGGCGACGACGGGUAGCCGGCCUGAGAGGGCGACCGGCCACACUGGGACUGAGACACGGCCCAGACUCCUACGGGAGGCAGCAGUGGGGAAUAUUGCACAAUGGGCGAAAGCCUGAUGCAGCGACGCCGCGUGAGGGAUGACGGCCUUCGGGUUGUAAACCUCUUUCAGCAGGGAAGAAGCGAAAGUGACGGUACCUGCAGAAUAAGCGCCGGCUAACUACGUGCCAGCAGCCGUGGUGAGGCGAAAAGAAAACAAACGUUGUCCGGAAUUAUUGGGCGUAAAGAGCUCGUAGGCGGCUUGUCACGUCGGUUGUGAAAGCCCGGGGCUUAACCCCGGGUCUGCAGUCGAUACGGGCAGGCUAGAGUUCGGUAGGGGAGAUCGGAAUUCCUGGUGUAGCGGUGAAAUGCGCAGAUAUCAGGAGGAACACCGGUGGCGAAGGCGGAUCUCUGGGCCGAUACUGACGCUGAGGAGCGAAAGCGUGGGGAGCGAACAGGAUUAGAUACCCUGGUAGUCCACGCCGUAAACGGUGGGCACUAGGUGUGGGCGACAUUCCACGUCGUCCGUGCCGCAGCUAACGCAUUAAGUGCCCCGCCUGGGGAGUACGGCCGCAAGGCUAAAACUCAAGGAAUUGACGGGGGCCCGCACAAGCGGCGGAUCAUGUGGCUUAUUCGACGCACGCGAGAAUCUUU